rnacentral:rRNA from 1 species
CGCGCAGGCGGUAGGCUAAGUUAGGCAUGAAAGCUCCCUGGCUAAACCGGGAGAGGAUGUCUGAUACUGGCAUACUAGAGUGAGGUAGAGGGGUGUGGAAUUCCGCGUGUAGUGGUGAAAUGCGUAGAUAUGCGGAGGAACACCAGUGGCGAAGGCGGCACCCUGGACCUUGACUGACGCUGAGGCGCGAAAGCAUGGGUAGCGAACG